ACUAACACCAUUAAACAACCCAGCAAAACACAGACUCCAACAAAAAAUCCAUCAUAAACUCCAUGUAACGAUAAAAAAACCAAUAAAGUUUUAGUGACAUUCUAAUGAACUGGUCAGCCUUAGCACAUUUAUUUAUUAUUAUGUUGCUUUUACCCACAACCUGCCAAUGGACUGCAGAUGUGAAUUAGCUUGAAGCUACAAUCUGGUACAGUGCAUCAAAUGGUAAUGUUUAUGUUUUACUGUACGCUUGCCCUUUUUAAAUAAAUAAAUGAGAAUUAAAAAAAAAUAACAAAGUUUUAUGUGCUGAAGCCCAUCAGGCCAAAGGAGAAUCAAAUCGAUGUAUGGUGAAAACACAGUCAACAUCAGAAAUGCUUGAGUCAUGGAAGGACCUGUGCUCGGUUUUGAGACUGACAAAACCAACACAGAGUUGGCUUUCAUCCUAUUGGACAGGUAAACUAAAAUUACUGCAAAGAAUGUCAAACACAGUGUGAUGUUGUGCUUGAGUUAGACAAGUUAGACACCGAGCUGUAACUAACAUUAUCCGGUGCAAAAUUAUGGCUUUCCACAUUACUUAACCAGCUAAUGCGACCCAUAUUACUAUCCUGUGAACCACCAGUAAAAUGUCAAAGUGCUGAUUUAGCUUGCAAGAAAUGAUGUAAUGGUACAAAGCAAAUGUGGAAAGAUUUGUUUUUACUAGCCUAUAAUAAUGCAAGGCAGGAGCAGCCAGAUAAAUUAGCACAGAUCUGCCGCUGUUUGCUUCGUAAUGUAUAAUUUAGAUGUAUUGUUGUUAUACCAAUGCUCAGGUACAAAGCUUUAUCACCGGUUUCAGUCCCUGUAACUUACGUCGCCCACAUAACAUAGUAAUGCAACCUUACCAGCUGUUCCAGCAGAAAUAUGGUUGUUGGUAGUGAAAAGCUCUGCUGGAGUGCUUUUGUAGAUUUCCCAACACAUCUAGAUAUAGGAAUCGUAAAUAUUCAUCAUGUUGAAUAUUUCGGGGCACGUCCGCUGAUCAGAAAUCCUGAUGUGUGGGGGGGAUCCCCGAGGAGCAUAAGAAACACAGUCAUGGCGCAGCACAAGGUGAAAUUAAUGUGGACAGCAGAGAUGGAGGAUCAGCUUGUAGAUUUGUGGCAACAGCAAGAAUGUUUGUUCAACGUCGCAAUUUCUUCCUGCAUAUCGUCCGCCAUGCUUAUUCUGAAGUGAGAUUUCGCGAGAUUUCCUGUAUUCUAGACUCGGGUUGAAAAUCUGUUUGUGUGUGGUGUGCCAUGAUGUGACAAAGACAGCACUAUAGGAGCAAAACUGUUAAAUCUAGGAUUUUUUCUCCUCAUGUUUGUGGUCUAUCACAUUUUGAAAAUCUUAUAAGAUGUAAAAAAUCCUUUGGUGUGUACCCAGCAUAAGAAUAGAAAGUGUCACAUGCAUAGGUAAAUUUGUGAUAUUGAGCUAUAUAAACAAAAUUAGAUUUUUGACCAGUAAAUUAUUGAGACCAAACUGUAGCCAGUUCUUUGCUAAAAAUAGUUAGAAUAUGGUACCACGGUAAAUUAUUAGAGAGACUGAGAAACAGUGGUACCAAGGCAAUGUUUAAAUGAAUAAACACUACAGUGACUUUUCUGGAGAAAGUAUCUACAUAAGUGUGCAGAGGUGCUUCCAAUUCAAAGAGGCUGCUUGCAGUUGAAAUGGGGAAAUGCUGAAAGCAGAUUAUUUCUGUAUGACUCUGUUGGUACUUAAUGCACUUGAUCUGUCUUAAGGUAUGUUUUUAAUACGUGACUAAUAACAAUGUUCAUUUGACCAUCAUCACUGUAGAUAUUAGUUAGUAAUAAAGAGACCCAACAGCGAUACACAGUAUGUGUGCAGUGUGUGUUGUGGAUUGCUGAAGCGAUUUUUAGAGUAAGUUAUAUAUGACAUACAGUUGAUCAAUAUUAACACUUCAAAACACACAUCACAAGAAAAAAACACUUUAGGAGAAGUGUUCCAUGCUUGUGCUGGUUUGUCGGUUUCUCAAGAUGACAAAAAUCGCACAUUGACAGUAGGGCCUACUUCUCUUUUCAAAACGUUUUACAUUACUUCAGUAAUCGAGAGGGUAAAGGGGCAAACAAAACAUUUUCUUUUCAUUAUUCAUUGUUAAAGGUGUAAAUGUGUAAUUAGUUAUAAGAUACACAUAAUGUGAUAUUGCAAAAUUAUAAGUGUGUAAAAGCCUGCCAGUGUUUGGGCAGGAGAAAUAUUGCUCAGCAAUGUCUAGGGACUUCCUGAAACCUUGUUGUUGCACAAAGAGGGAAGGAAUAGAAAAGUGAGGAGAGGAAGGGUCAGUUCAGAACUUAAACACUGUUCAUGAAGGAGAACCGGAGAACGAGGUCGAAAGAGUGUGAAGUUUGUCCUGUGGAGUGAUCAUCAAAUCGGGAUGUUUGUUCUCAUCUGGGCGACUUUGCUUUUCUCUGCGAGAGACAGCAUUGCAGACACAGGAGCAUCAGUGGAGAAAAGAACACGCUGUCAAAGUGGAUUCUGUAUCUGUAUCAGUCAAAGUUGCUAUAGAUAAUGGUUUUAGAGAUUUGAGGUGACAUGUAAAGAUUUUAUGUGUAAGCAGUUGUAAAAAACUGUAACUGACUCUGGCCCUUUUAUCUAUUUGUUUGGUGGAAACUUCUGAUUAGUGUGUUAUCAAUUUUAACUAUCUGUGUUUCCACCUGUGCUGAUUGAGUGAACAAUAUCGAAUGUUAGUGUUUUCUCAAUCAUUUUAGUUCAGAAGCCUGGUUAUAGUUUUUAAGCAAUGGAGAAAAACUGUAUUAAAGAGACUGAGAAACAGUGGUACUGAGGCAAUGUUUAAAUGAAUAAACAGUACUGAAAGAAAGAGAUGAGCUGACUACUCACAUACUCACAUACUUGGGUUCAGAAAAUCAACCACCCACUACCGAAUUGACGGGUCAAGUCACAAAGAGUCCAGAAUUUCUAGUUAAGACUCCUUUAUUGCCAAAUUGUGGUAGGUGUGUGUGUGGUUCUGAAAUGAGGAAUAAUAUACAGAGUAAGGCACCAUAUUACAACCCAUUAAACCAGUCAUUAUUAAGAACUAAAUGAGAAAAAAAAUUAAAUAAACACCGCUAUACCUAGAACGGCCACAAGGUAGCACCACAGUGAUGCCAGCUAACCACCUUUCCACACCUUGACCACUUUUCCACUCUAAAAUUAUCUCAUUAAAGAAAGCAGUUGACAGCUAGGCAGCUAUUAAUAAUAAAAAGGUGCAUUGAAUGUAAUUACAUUAAGCACAAGCUCUACACAUAUAGAACUAGCACUGUAGAUACUCACUUGCUCGUAAAUGGGCCUAAUUGACAUGACUAACAGUAGCUACAGUGAGCUAGAGCAAGAUUUAGACAAGAAAAGGGGAAGACUAUAACUAUAAUAAUGUGAAACUUAAAGUACUUACAGUUCAAU